rnacentral:misc_RNA from 1 species
CCGAACUUGCCUGGCACGCAGGCUAAAAACUGCCAAAAGAGUACCUUGGCCCGCGUUUGUUCGUCCCAUCUCCUCUUGUGCCUCUUCUUCUCGAAGUAUCUUGGCCCCCCCUGGCAGGUUCGAAGGACUCGUUUCUUGUUUGGCAGGUACGGACGCGACUCUCGCCCUCCGGCGGGUGGCGCGGAAGACUCUGUCCACUCUGAGGAGGGAGGCCGGAGGGCUUGCUGCUCGGCAGGUGUGAAAACGGAGGACUCGUCACAAUUCAGGUUUGGAGCGGUGGCGUCCGAAGGGGCGUUUGCGUGCUUUGCUGGGUCCAGCGGUCCCGCCCCCGUGGCGGAAUCCAGCGGCCUCGCGGUGCGGCUUCCGGAGGGCUCACUGCAGGCGGGAAUAUCGGACUACACAACUACCUGCUCAACUUGGGUGGCUUGAGAGAACGUGACGGACGAGGAACACCGAACGAAGACGAAGGAACGAACAAGGCGCAGAGGGAAGAACCCCGCGAAAGAACUGCAUUAUGCGAUGUCGGGCGAAAGGCGUCUCGCCGAGCUUUUGCCAAGCUCGAAAACAAAGCGUACCCCCACAAUUCAACCCCAACAAACUCCGAAUCUGAACUCAAAGGGAGGCGCGCGCUGAACCGCUGCGCCUUCUCAACCUUUUAACGUUGUAAA